rnacentral:rRNA from 1 species
GAUGAACGCUCGCUACAGGCUUAACACAUGCAAGUCGAGGGGCAGCAUGAACUUAGCUUGCUAAGUUUGAUGGCGACCGGCGCACGGGUGAGUAACACGUAUCCAACCUGCCGAUGACUCGGGGAUAGCCUUUCGAAAGAAAGAUUAAUACCCGAUGGCAUAGUUCUUCCGCAUGGUAGAACUAUUAAAGAAUUUCGGUCAUCGAUGGGGAUGCGUUCCAUUAGGUUGUUGGCGGGGUAACGGCCCACCAAGCCUUCGAUGGAUAGGGGUUCCGAGAGGAAGGUCCCCCACAUUGGAACUGAGACACGGUCCAAACUCCUACGGGAGGCAGCAGUGAGGAAUAUUGGUCAAUGGACGAGAGUCUGAACCAGCCAAGUAGCGUGAAGGAUGACUGCCCUAUGGGUUGUAAACUUCUUUUAUACGGGAAUAAAGUGAGGCACGUGUGCCUUUUUGUAUGUACCGUAUGAAUAAGGAUCGGCUAACUCCGUG